rnacentral:rRNA from 1 species
AUACGUAGGUGACAAGCGUUAUCCGGAUUUACUGGGCGUAAAGGGCGUGUAGGCGGUCUUGCAAGUCAGAAGUGAAAUUCCUGAGCUCAACUCGGGCGCUGCUUCUGAAACUGCAGGACUUGAGUGCUGGAGGGGAUAGCGGAAUUCCUAGUGGAGCGGUAAAUGGGCAGAUAUUAGGAAGAACACCGGUGGCGAAGGCGGAUAUCUGGACAGUAACGGACGCUGAGGCGCGAAAGCGUGGGGAGCAAACAGGAUUAGAUCCCCUGUUAGUCCACGCCGUAAACGAUGAAUACUAGGUGUAGGGGGUAUCGACUCCCUCUGUGCCGCAGUUAACACAAUACGUAUUCCGCCUGGGGAGUACGGCCGCAAGGUUGAAACUCAAAGGAAUUGACGGG